rnacentral:siRNA from 1 species
GUGAUGUUUGUCACUGCUGGUAAU